rfam:Gorilla gorilla gorilla genomic chromosome, chrX, whole genome shotgun sequence
GGUUGAAUUCAGUGUCGUAGCAGGAAUUCUUAGAGCUGGCCGUCCCAAGAUGGGGUGGAGAGAGCGGCAUGAAAGAGAGAGAGAGAGAGAGACACGCCUGAAUGGCAGCAGCAGGCCUUAGCGGCAAAGGACAGCAGGCACAGGACCAGCUUUGCCUUGAGCCGCAACGCUGAUGCCAGAAAAGGACAACCUCUCCAGAAUCGCCGCAGUGUGCUUCC